CGGGGUGUAGCAUAGUUGGUCUAAUGCGCAGGGCUGGGGGUCCUGAGAUCGGCAGUUCAAAUCUGCCCACCCCGACCA
rnacentral:tRNA from 1 species